GGGAAUUUGGCUCAGUGGUAGAGUACUUGCCUUGCAUGCAUGAGGCCCUGGGUUCGAUUCCUUAGCACCA
rnacentral:tRNA from 1 species